UUCGCUACUUCUUCCCUCUCUCUCCUCAACUCAUUGUUCAUCCUUUCCACCGCUUCAAUCUUGGUCUCAUGUUUUAUUCCCUUUUAAUUUUCUUCUCUCGCGGUUUUGUUGCUUCCUUUCCACCGCUUCAAUCUUUCUCCAACUGGCUACAGACUCCAUCAAACCCUAGAACGAGAAAUCUUAAAUCCACAACCCAAAAUUCAGUCAUAUUUACCCAACGAAGGUAGAUUAAUAGAAGAAAGAUUGCUCCAUCAGAGCGGGCAAGAUGGCUAGAUGAGUAUAAUCCAUUUAACUUGGUCAGACGACACUGCUGUGAGAAACACCUGUUUGUGGAUGAGAUAGUCUACCAAAAGAGGAGGGAAGGCAACCCAGAAGGAUGAAUUAGAGGUAAAUUGUACUAAAGUAGGUUACCCUCUUCAUCUCCUCAAAUAAAUUUGACUAUCUAUCAAUUUCCUUGAAAUUAUUUUUGGUUUCAAAUUUAUAUCGAUUGCUAUGGUUUUGGAAGGGUGUAUGGAUUUGGGUAAUUUUCAUAUUAUUUUGGGAGUUUGCCCACUUGAGGUAGAGCUUUUGUAGACAGAUUUGGGCUUUAGGCCAGAGUGUUGGCUAAUCCGAAUUGUUGAAGAGGAUUUGGGGAUUGAUAUCUGAAAGGGAUGAAUCUCUUAAUUUUCCAUUGCUCUCAACCUCCGACUGCAAAAAGAGCUCAAGUUCCUCCUCACCGACCCUCCACCUACCUCCAUUGCUGCAAGCAAAGACUGUAACAAAAAUCAUUGACGCAUAAGACGAAGAGAGAGAGCGAAAGCAUGUCUAAAGGUCAUGCCGACCUUGAUCUCCGUCUUUCUUUUCAAGACGGGGUUUUGGAAACCCCUCUUGGUUAUCCUUCCCAUUCGCCAGGUCUUGGAAAUUGAUAAAGAACAAAUGGUUGAUUUACUGAGAAAAAUAAUAAAUGAACAAAAACUAAAGCUUCGAACUCAGAGAAAGAGGUGGCUGUCAUCAUUCAAAUUCAAUUUGAAAUCGUAUUUCUGAGUAUGUUGUUUUAUCAUUGAUCAGGGUUUUAUUUAAGGCAAACUUAUACAUCCCAAUGCAAAGGGAGAGAGGAGGCAAAGGUUGGCAUUGUUGAUAACUUUGUAAUGAAUGUGUGGAGACCAUGGAGCAUAUUCUCCUUCUGUGUCCUUGGGUGUCUAGAGUAUGGUUUGGGGGUCCGUUGAAUGCUCAGAUCAAUCAAAGCUCAAUUACUACUUUGGCUGAAUGAGUGUAUGGGGCGAUAAAUCAAAAUAUGGGUUGUCAGGAGGAUCUCCCUCGGUCUAUGAGAGUCUUUUAUGCAAGCCUCCGCUCCCCUGCUGUUAUCAUCCACAAUCCAAACUAGUCGUCCUUGAGGUACGCGCCUUCUCACUCUUUGGUCUCCUCCCCCAGUCAAUAAGAUUAAGGUGAAUGUUGAUGCGUGUUGGAGGAGGGACUCCUGUUGUGGUAAGAUUGGGACUGUGGCCCGUGAUUGGUUGUCAGGUUGCAGGGCGGUUAAAAGUGUAUGGAUGCAUUCAUCUUUGGUUAGGAUGGCUGAAGCUCUUGCAAUUCUGGAAGGGUGCUUGUUGGCUAAGUGUUUGCAAGUGCAGGAGGUGGUAAUUGAGUCGGACGCACAAGGGGUUAUUCGGUCCCUCAAUUCCCCUCAUUUGAGCUGUGAUGGGGACCUUCUCCCAAUUCUUAGCCGUAUCUUGGAUGUUGGGAGGAGUUUUCAUUCAUGCUCCUGGUCGUGGAUUCCACGAUCGGCAAAUAUGGCGGCGGAUUUUGUCGCAAUGAGCAUUUCACCGGAGAUGUGCAGCUUUGGCUGGGUUGUUCAACCUCCAUCUUCGUUAGUUGGCAUUUUGAACAAAGAUGGUCUUCCAUGUCCUCCUUUGUAAUUGGGGAUGGGUUGCACUGGUAAUAGGGCGACACUGGUACCUAUUGUGGUGGUGUCUUUCUUGAUCCUAUUUAUCUGUGUCUGUAUCUUCUGGGGUUGCGGAGGUUGUUUCUGCGUGUUGUUUGGCCUUGUGCCUCUCUGUUCUUUGAAUCUAUCCUUUUACCAAAAAAAAAAAAUUAGUCGGAGAGUUGAAGAUAGAAAAUUUAAUCAUGUCAGUAAUUCAUCGUGUUCAAUUUUCAUGCUUUGCCAUUCUUAUCCACUUUAUUACUUCUUUUGAUGUAAUCUGAAUUAUAUAUUUUUUUUCAUCUUCAUCAGGCACUUCUCUUUGGAAAGAAGCAUGUUUGGUAUUCAAUCCACCAUUUAAAUGGGAAAGAGGAAGUUCCCUCGUCACAUGGUUAAAGCCGUAGAGGCGGAGUUGAAAGUCAAGAGGAGGGGGAAAUAAACUUUAUUAAGAUAAAGAGGAAUGGACAAUAACAUGAAAAGCUGAGAAUGAACAGUCGAAUACUGAGUUGAAUCCACUGCUACCACCCAACAAAUCCAAGUGCUGAAAUUUCAAUUAUUGUUCUUCGAGGAGGCCUUGGACAUUAGUAAAGAACAAAUGGUUGAUUUGCUGAGGAAGUAUGAAUCACUAGAACUAAAGACAUGAGCCUUAGAGUCUUGUAAUAUAUUGUACAAACAUGUAUCUUUUGUUUUUUUAUUGAUUAUAAAGAUAUAAAUAUGUUUUGAUAUAGAAGUAAAUAUAUUUUAAUAUAUUUUAUACGUUUAACAUGGUUUUAGACCCGCGGCAUCGCGCGGGCUAA